rfam:Nomascus leucogenys chromosome 9, whole genome shotgun sequence.
ACUAUUUCUCGGCCUUUUGGCUAAGAUCAAGUGUAGUAUCUGUUCUUAUCAGUUUAUUUUACAUUUAUUUAUUUUUUGAGAUGGAGUUUCCCUCUUGUCACCCAGGCUGGGGUGCAAUGGCGCAAUCUUGGCUCACGGCAACCUCC